rnacentral:rRNA from 1 species
UACGUAGGGGGCGAGCGUUGUCCGGAUUUACUGGGCGUAAAGCGCGUGUAGGUGGCCACAUAAGUCGGGUGUGAAAGCCCGGGGCUCAACCCCGGGAUGCCGCCCGAGACUGUGCGGCUUGAGGACGGAAGAGGGGAGUGGAAUUCCUGGUGUAGCGGUGAAAUGCGUAGAGAUCAGGAGGAACACCCGUGGCGAAGGCGGCUCCCUGGUCCGUCCCUGACGCUGAGACGCGAAAGCGCGGGGAGCGAACGGGAUUAGAUACCCCGGUAGUCCGCGCCGUAAACGAUGGUCACUAGGUGUGCGUGGUAUCGACACCACGCGUGCCGUCGCUAACGCAAUAAGUGACCCGCCUGGGGAGUACGGCCGCAAGGUUGAA